UACGGAGGAUCCAAGCGUUAUCCGGAAUCAUUGGGCUUGAAGGGUCCGUAGGCGGGAUGAUAAGGCAGUGGUGAAAGUCUGCAGCUCAACUGGAGAACUGCCAUUGAUACUGUUGUCCUUGAGUCAUUAUGAAGUGGUUAGAAUAUGUAGUGUAGCGGUGAAAUGCAUAGAUAUUACAUAGAAUACCGAUUGCGAAGGCAGAUCACUAAUAAUUUACUGACGCUGAGGGACGAAAGCGUAGGGAGCGAACAGG
rnacentral:misc_RNA from 1 species